rnacentral:tRNA from 1 species
GGGCGGUUGGCUCAGCGGUUAGAGCACUUGAUUCACAUUCAAGGGGUCAGAGGUUCAAAUCCUCUACCGCCCA